rnacentral:rRNA from 1 species
UACCUGGUUGAUCCUGCCAGUAGUCAUAUGCUUGUCUCAAAGACUAAGCCAUGCAAGUCUAAGUAUAAGCAAUUUAUACGGCGAAACUGCAGAUGGCUCAUUAAAACAGUUAUAGUUUAUUUGAUGGUCUAUUACUACUUGGAUAACCGUAGUAAUUCUAGGGCUAAUACAUGCAUGAAGGCUCAACUUACGGCGAGCUGUAUUUAUUAGAUAAAACACCAAUUCCGCAAGGAUCCGGUGAGUCAUAAUAACUAAUCGAAUCGCACGGCUUACGCUGGCGAUAGGUCAUUCAAAUUUCUGCCCUAUCAGCUUUCGAUGGUAGGAUAUGGGCCUACCAUGGCGGUGACGGGUGACGGAGAAUUAGGGUUCGAUUCCGGAGAGGGAGCCUGAGAAACGGCUACCACAUCCAAGGAAGGCAGCAGGCGCGCAAAUUACCCAAUCCUGACAUAGGGAGGUAGUGACAAGAAAUAACAAUAGACGGGUUUACUAAUCUGUCUAAUUGGGAAUGAGUACAAUUUAAACAACUUAACGAGGAUCCAUUGGAGGGCAAGUCUGGGUGCCAGCAGCCGCGGUAAUUCCAGCUCCAAUAGC